GUGCCUGUAGCUCAGUUGGAUAGAGCAGCAGCCUUCUAAGCUGCGGGUCGUGGGUUCGAAUCCCUCCAGGCACG